CCUACGGGCGGCAGCAGUGAGGAAUAUUGGUCAAUGGGCGGAAGCCUGAACCAGCCAAGUAGCGUGCAGGAUGACGGCCCUACGGGUUGUAAACUGCUUUUAUACGGGAAUAACGCGCCUUACGCGUAGGGCUUUGCAUGUACCGUGUGAAUAAGGACCGGCUAAUUCCGUGCCAGCAGCCGCGGUAAUACGGAAGGUCCGGGCGUUAUCCGGAUUUAGUGGGUUUAAAGGGAGCGUGGGCCGCAUGUCAAGCGUGCUGUGAAAUGUCCGGGCUCAACCCGGGCCUUGCAGCGCGAACUGGGGUGCUUGAGUGCGCGGAAGGCAGGCGGAAUUCGUGGUGUAGCGGUGAAAUGCUUAGAUAUGACGAAGAACCCCGAUUGCAAAGGCAGCUUGCUGCAGCGGAACUGACGCUGAGGCUCGAAAGCGCGGGUAUCGAACAGGAUUAGAUACCCCAGUAGUC
rnacentral:rRNA from 1 species